CCGCCCAUAGCUCAGGCCGGUAGAGCAGUCGCCUCUUAAGCGAACGGUCGUAGGUUCAAAUCCUACUGGGCGGA
rnacentral:tRNA from 1 species